rnacentral:piRNA from 1 species
AACAUUUCCUGGGCCUUUCAGGAAUACCACGA